GGUACCUGGGUUCCCCUCCCUCCCUGCUCUACCUGGGCAAGAGUGAGUCCUUCCUCCUGCUCCAGCUCCUGGCUUAGGGCCAAGAAAGUCCAUGUGUGGAUUCUGGGAAAGCAAUUCUUCCAGGAAUCGGGGGUGAAUGACGGCCUCCACCUGGAAACAGAAGGGAGACGGUGUGAGCUUCCCGGGCAGGGAGUAACCUGGAGCCAAGGACACCUGGAGGAGAUGCAGAAAGCACCUCAAACUCCAGGAACCUGGGGUGAAGAAGGUGUAGGCCGUGCUGAGAGGGUCCAGGCCCUCUGCCCCCAGGACCAGGCAGCAGCUGAUGGCAGGGAUGGGAAGGAGGGUCCCUUCACUAGAGAGCCUGGCAGUUAACCCAGAUUGCACCACUGCAUUCUAGCCUGGGUGACCCAGCAAGACUCCAUCUUGAAAAAGAAACAAUGAAAGAAAACCACUGGAUGGAAAUCUCUCCCAAGCCAGCAGUA
rnacentral:lncRNA from 1 species